GGAUAUGAGGGCAAUCUGGCCGCGACAUCUGUCACCCCAUUGGUUGCCAGGGUUGAUUCGGCUGACCUGUCUGGCUAGGCGGGUGUCUCCUUUCUCCCUUACCGCUCCAUGUGCAUCCCUCCCGAAGCUGCACACUCAGUCCAAGAGGACGACCAUCCCUAGUAGAGGACCUUUCUUCUUGGUCAAGGGAUUAUGAGUAGCUAAGCUCCCCUGCUAGAACCUCCAAACAAGCUCUCUCUCUCUUACUAGUUUUAUGUUAUGGACUCCCCACAAAAUGAUUGUGUUCUCUCAGCUUUAUAUGAUUCACGGGAACAAAGCCAUUAUUACAACUUUGUCCAUCUCUCCACACAGCACACUACCUGCUAAUGUU
rnacentral:snRNA from 1 species